AUGGGCGAGCUUGCUCCAUGGCCGGAGCGAAAGGGAGAAGCGUGGAGAGUUGAUGAAGUGGUCGCCGUCAAGGCGGCGCUUGGUAGUGUGGGAGGAGAAGAGGAUAAGGAAAUCCUCGGGGUGGUGCUCGUGGACCGUGAAGUCGAGAGCUCGAGCGCGCUGAUGAGCAGGUCGGACACCUCGGCCGUAGACACGGAUGGCCUGUUGCCGAUGAUGGAGGCCACCAUUGCGCAGGCAAGCACCUGCUCGGCCUCCUCCAUCUCAACCGAGUGCGCCAUGAUGACUCGCACGGGCUCCGGGGAGCGCGGCGCGGGUGCAAGGACCAUCUGGACAGCGGGAGGAGGGGGAGGUGUGGCUGGGGCGACGCGGCAACGAGGCGGUGGGCUGGCGUGGCCCCUGCUGUUCCCGGGGCGCAGACCAUCGCAGGAGCGGGAGUCGUGGCCGGAGGUGAGGCAGCGUCUGCACCAGAUGUCAUUGGUGCAGUCGCGCACGCGAUGGCGGUGGUCCAGGCAGCGAAAGCAGAGACCGGUGACCUCCUCAGGGGAGGGGCUGGGCGGCGGAGGGCUGGGCGUGACAGCCGGGCGGGGGCGGCGGCGGUUGUGUCGCCUCGGCUGUUGGAAGCCGUCGGCGUCGACCGUAGCACCAUUGGUGAAGCGGUGCACCUCCGAGCGUGGGCCGAGGCGGGUCUUGGCAAGCCGCCUGCUUGGUUCCACCGCGUGGCUUGGGGCAGCCGUCAUCGGAGGCGCGGGGGGCGGAGGCAGAGUCCGGGCGACGUCGUUGUACGAGCGGGCGGAGGACUCGCUCCCCGAGUCGAGACAGCGGUCACCGGAGGACACGCGCUCGCCGGAGAGGGUCGCUCGGCGGUCGACAGGGUCAGCACCAGAGGACGCCAUGGCCGCAGGCUUGGGGGUGGGGGAGCGACGGCGAGGCUGGUGGAGGAGGAAGGCUAGGUGGCAUCGGGGCAAGGGCUUGCAGGGGACGCCGGCGAGGUUGGCGGAAGGGGAGGGCUAG
rnacentral:rRNA from 1 species